rnacentral:lncRNA from 1 species
GGUUGGAUAAAGUAGAGGCUCACCUCGGGAGUGCUGUGUGAUAAGAAGGUGCUCUUAAAGCUUAAAGGCAAGUUCUACAGAGUGAUAGUCCGUUCGGCCAUGCUGUAUGGUGCGGAGUGUUAGUCGGUCAAGAACUCCCACAUUCAAAAAUUGAAGGUAGCAAAAUGAGAAUGUUGCAUUGGAUGUGUGGUCUUACUAGAGGGGAUAGAGUUAAGAAUGAGAUU